rnacentral:rRNA from 1 species
AGCUCCAAUAGCGUAUAUUAAAGUUGCUGCAGUUAAAAAGCUCGUAGUUGGAUUUCUGAUCUGCAACAUUUAGCCGGCCACGGUUUCGUGUGUUAGUGUUAGAUGUUCUGGUCAUCCUUCCAAUUGCUGCGCUUGAUCUUCAUUGAUUUGUGUUGUAGUAUUGGAUCUUUUACUUUGAAAAAAUUAGAGUGUUUCAAGCAGGCUUAUGCUAUGAAUACAUUAGCAUGGAAUAAUAAUUUAGGACUUCGGUUCUAUUUUGUUGGUUUCUAGGACUGAAGUAAUGAUUGAUAGGGACAGUUGGGGGUGCUAGUAUUCAGCGGCCAGAGGUGAAAUUCUCGGAUUCGCUGAAGACUAACUUAUGCGAAAGCAUUCACCAAGGAUGUCUUCU